AUUUUAAUUGUUUCGCAGCAAACGAUAUUUUUAGAUUGGCGGUGAUAUCUUCUAAUGAACUUGAAGAUAUGAAGGCAAUUUUAAUCUAUAUAAAAUCCAUAAGGAAGAUGCACCCCGCUGUUUUUCGCGAGAGGAAAGCGCGGCGUGCGGAGAGUUCAGCUCGAACUUAGUCCACCGACGACCGCAGCUUGAUGCACAGUCAUAGGGAAAUUUUUUUGUUCUAUGAUUUUUUUUAUCAAUAUAAUUUUUUAAAUGUCCAAAAAAACGGAACAUAUAGUUCCCAAAAGUCAGAAAUAAACAUACUUUGAAAGUUU